AAUUCCCUUGGUGACGUCAUACUGGGUGUAUGGUGGUCACAUUGAUAUUUCUUGAGGUUGGUACUGAACACCGGCCGCUAGCUGUCACGAAGCCGGAACGGUGAAGAGGGAAGCAUUGGUCUUGGGAGUGUCAAUAAGAAUGGCGGCGUGAGUUUUCUAAUUAUAUAAUUAAAAUAAGUUAUUUCCAGUUGCAUAGUUCCAUUAUUGUUGUUGCAAGUUAUAGAAAGUUGAGUGAAUUAAAGUGACGGAAUAAUGAAACUGUAAGAAAAAGGAUCUCACACCGCCAUUCGGGAGAAAUCUAUUAUUACCGCUGGUAAACCCUCUCUAACAAUGAGAGCAGACACUUCCAAGAUUCAGUCAACCAGGGAACAAGUCUAAGGAUACAGUCCCAUUUGUUUUGUUUUGGUUCAUCAUCCUGCACCCUCCGAGGGACAGGUUCAUUAGCUAUUGGGCAGUUGCACCACUUCGGUGUUAACUUCGUACCACGGAUUUGGUACCACACACCAAGGAUCAGUGUUGGAACGCGUGAAAAGGGGUUUGUUUUGGGGGACAAUUAUUCAUACUAGUUAAAGACUUAUACUGUUUUUUUUUUUUGUAAUAUUCAGGACAUUUAAGUUAGAUACACAUAAGGUCAUAAUUUAAUUACACAUAAAUAUUUUUUCUUUCUCUACAAAUUUAAGUACAUUUUAGUUAUAAUAACCAUACCUAACAGUUAGUACUGUUCCCCCAAAUUUAUAUAAUUCUUGGUAGAAGUUUCGAGCUCGAAGAUUCUCCCCAUACAUGUUCUUUCCCCUUGGUUCGUAUUAAUUUUAGACUUGUUUUCUCAGUUAAUUUAAAAAUAAUAUUAGUUCAAUUCACCUAAAUUUAAAAUCAUUCAACUUGUUUCAUAAUUUUUCAAUUUGUAUUAGAUUUUUGUAAAUAUUAUUUAACGUUAACUAUUAAUUUUUUUAUAUUAUAUUUGAAUAAAUCCCUAGUACCCAUCCCCUCAGGAAGGUACUAGUUUUACUUGCGAUUAUUAUUUAGAACCACUAGUCAGAAAAGGAUCUUUUGUAUCCAGUACUAAGUUGGUUCAUUUAGGGACUUGUUACCCGUCAACACAUUGAGAGUUGUAAAAUAUAUAUUAUUUACAUUAGGUAUUUUCCUUAUUCUAUUAUCAGGUA